UUCUUAUUUAAUUUUUCUAAAUCUAACAUUUUUUAGGCAAGAAAAACGUAAAAUUGGUCGUAUUGGCGGAUCUCCGUCAAAGUGGGAGUUCUACAACGAAGUGCAUAAGGUUUUGGGCAGCUUUAAAGCAAACAAUUUAUUUGAAGUAAUGGACGAAAGUUCAAUUGACGAGCCGAAUUGUGAAGAAUCUUUGUUGUUGAAAACGCAUUUGGUCAUCUGAAAGUGCGAUUUCGCAAAAUUGGGAAAGGUUUGAAAGUUAACAUAAAAAAUAUGAACACAAUUAUAAAAGCAUGCUGUAUUAUGCAUAAUAUUGCAACAACAGAAACGAUAACAUCAAUCAGUGUUGGAUUCAGCAGUCAGACAUCCAAAGUAAAUGGCAGCAGCCAAAAAGAAGCAUUUCCGUAAGUGAUACCAAAAACAGUGGAAUUGCUGUAAGAAACGCAUUAAUGACUAAUUUUAUUACCCGUUAGUAUAAUUGUAAUACCAUACAAAUGUACAAAAUAAAUAUAAAAUGUUUAUUUAUUUAUUAACGGUGAAA